UAGUAUGGUGUAAAUACCCUAAAAGAACCAGAUCUUGUCCAAUCUUGGAAGCUAAGUAGGGUCAGCACUGCUCAGUACUGGAGUGGGAAACUACUAAUGAAUGACAGGUGCUGUGGGCU
rnacentral:rRNA from 11 species